rnacentral:miRNA from 1 species
UCGGUAUAAUAAAAUCGAGAAC